UACAGAGGUGGCAAGCGUUGUUCGGAAUUACUGGGCGUAAAGGGCGCGUAGGCGGUUCGAUAAGUCCCGUGUGAAAUCCCUGGGCUCAACCCAGGAUGGCACGGGAGACUGUCGGACUUGAGUUCGGGAGAGGGAAGCGGAAUUCCGGGUGUAGCGGUGAAAUGCGUAGAUAUCGGGAGGAAUACCAGUGGCGAAGGCGGCCUUCUGGGCCGUUCCUGACGCUCAGACGCGAAAGCGUGGGUAGCGAACGGG
rnacentral:rRNA from 1 species